CGAAGACAUCUGGAAAAGGAAUAUUGCUCACGUUUAGAAUGGUUUCUUCCUUGCUAAUCACUAUAAAUAAAAGUAUCGCGAGCUAUCAUAAUGAUGUCAUCAGUGAAGCGAUAUCCUAUCAUCGAGAAGAGUAACUCGAAAUUAAGAUUCUACGAAACGUAAUAUGUCUCAAAAUGGACGUAAAAAGAAAUAUUAUAGGUUGCUCUGAAUUUAUUUAACAUAUAUUCAAUAUUAGAAUAAUCACUUUUAUACGCACAUCAAUGGCCAGUUCAUUGCGACAAGCGGAAGUAGAGAUUGCGCAGGAAGGCCCACAUUCUCGUGCAUAUAUCAAGGACACGGUGAUGAUACGAAGUUAAAAAAUGCGCGUGUCGAUGCAUUUGAUGAUUGCGAAAUUAGCUUGCAGCCACGAGUACGGAAACCGAAGUCCAGCGAAGGAACUUGAAAUGCACUAGUACUAUAAUUACAUAUUGUACAACAUACGAGCUUCAACACGACGACCACAACGAAAACCACGCUCACUUUCGAUAUUACAAAAACACGUUUCGCCAUAUUAUCUCAAUAGUAUUCAAAAACGAAAUAGAAAAAAAAGAAGCACGACGCAACAGGUUGGAAAAUUCAGGGGAUAAAAAAAAUCCGAGGAGAAAUUUUGUCGAAUUUUCUAUCCGAUGUGCAUGAACACGCAAGCAUCUAGAAACGAUUCAGUAACACGAAAGCGAGGAAUACACGAAAAGAAUGUCACCCUUCACUUUCUCCGAAUCACUGAUUUCACACAACACACCCUAGACUUGAGAAAUGCGAG